UACCGCAUACGACCUUCGGGUGAAAGCAGGGGACCUUCGGGCCUUGCGCGAUUAGAUGAGCCGAUGUCGGAUUAGCUAGUUGGUGGGGUAAAGGCUCACCAAGGCGACGAUCCGUAGCUGGUCUGAGAGGAUGAUCAGCCACACUGGAACUGAGACACGGUCCAGACUCCUACGGGAGGCAGCAGUGGGGAAUAUUGGACAAUGGGCGCAAGCCUGAUCCAGCCAUGCCGCGUGGGUGAAGAAGGCCUUCGGGUUGUAAAGCCCUUUUGUUGGGAAAGAAAAGCAGUCGACUAAUACUCGAUUGUUCUGACGGUACCCAAAGAAUAAGCACCGGCUAACUUCGUGCCAGCAGCCGCGGUAAUACGAAGGGUGCAAGCGUUACUCGGAAUUACUGGGCGUAAAGCGUGCGUAGGUGGUGGUUUAAGUCCGUUGUGAAAGCCCUGGGCUCAACCUGGGAAUUGCAGUGGAUACUGGGUCACUAGAGUGUGGUAGAGGGUAGCGGAAUUCCCGGUGUAGCAGUGAAAUGCGUAGAGAUCGGGAGGAACAUCUGUGGCGAAGGCGGCUACCNGGACCAACAC
rnacentral:rRNA from 1 species